rnacentral:other from 1 species
AGAUGCCUAUGGUGUACGCAUACUCAGAUAAUUCAACCGACAACUCAGACACGGGAGUCUGCGUUUAGUAGUUAAUAACAAGCCUCCCCGAGAGGACGUUAGAAGUUGCUAGCAAGAAACCCCCCUUUAACUAGGCGGGUGUGAAUUAGAUGAGAAAGCGGCAUUGUGGGUCUUAG